CCUACGGGAGGCAGCAGUGGGGAAUAUUGCACAAUGGGCGAAAGCCUGAUGCAGCAACGCCGCGUGGGGGAUGACGGCCUUCGGGUUGUAAACCUCUUUUAGUAGGGAAGAAGGACUUCGGUUUGACGGUACCUGCAGAAAAAGCACCGGCUAACUACGUGCCAGCAGCCGCGGUAAUACGUAGGGUGCAAGCGUUGUCCGGAAUUAUUGGGCGUAAAGAGCUCGUAGGCGGUUUGUCGCGUCUGCUGUGAAAACCCGAGGCUCAACCUCGGGCCUGCAGUGGGUACGGGCAGACUAGAGUGCGGUAGGGGAGAAUGGAAUUCCUGGUGUAGCGGUGGAAUGCGCAGAUAUCAGGAGGAACACCGAUGGCGAAGGCAGUUCUCUGGGCCGUUACUGACGCUGAGGAGCGAAAGCAUGGGGAGCGAACAGGAUUAGAUACCCUGGUAGUCCAUGCCGUAAACGUUGGGAACUAGAUGUGGGGACCUUUCCACGGUCUCCGUGUCGCAGCUAACGCAUUAAGUUCCCCGCCUGGGGAGUACGGCCGCAAGGCUAAAACUCAAAGGAAUUGACGG
rnacentral:rRNA from 1 species